rnacentral:rRNA from 1 species
AUGCUUGGGAACUUGCCUUUGCGAGGGGGAUAACAGUUGGAAACGACUGCUAAUACCGCAUAAUGUCUUCGGACCAAACGGGGCUUCGGCUCCGGCGCAAAGAGAGGCCCAAGUGAGAUUAGCUAGUUGGUAAGGUAAAGGCUUACCAAGGCAACGAUCUCUAGCUGUUCUGAGAGGAAGAUCAGCCACACUGGGACUGAGACACGGCCCAGACUCCUACGGGAGGCAGCAGUGGGGAAUAUUGCACAAUGGGGGAAACCCUGAUGCAGCCAUGCCGCGUGUGUGAAGAAGGCCUUCGGGUUGUAAAGCACUUUCAGUUGUGAGGAAAAGUUAGUAGUUAAUACCUGCUAGCCGUGACGUUNACAACAGAAGAAGCACCGGCUAACUCCGUGCCAGCAGCCGCGGUAAUACGGAGGGUGCGAGCGUUAAUCGGAAUUACUGGGCGUAAAGCGCACGCAGGCGGUUUGUUAAGCUAGAUGUGAAAGCCCCGGGCUCAACCUGGGAUGGUCAUUUAGAACUGGCAGACUAAAGUCUUGGAGAGGGGAGUGGA